rnacentral:rRNA from 1 species
GAUGAACGCUGGCGGCGUGCCUAAUACAUGCAAGUCGAGCGAACAGACGAGGAGCUUGCUCCUCUGACGUUAGCGGCGGACGGGUGAGUAACACGUGGAUAACCUACCUAUAAGACUGGGAUAACUUCGGGAAACCGGAGCUAAUACCGGAUAAUAUAUUGAACCGCAUGGUUCAAUAGUGAAAGACGGUUUUGCUGUCACUUAUAGAUGGAUCCGCGCCGCAUUAGCUAGUUGGUAAGGUAACGGCUUACCAAGGCAACGAUGCGUAGCCGACCUGAGAGGGGGGGCGCCCACAGUGGAACGGAGCCACGGCCCACACCCCUGGGGGGGGCGCCGGGGGGGACUCUUCGGAAAGGGCGGAAAGCCUGACGGACCACGCCCGGGUGGGUAAGAAAGGUGUCGGGAUCGAAAACCUUUUUUAUGGGGAAAAAAAAAAUGUUUAAGUACCUAGGCACGUCUGGAGGGUCCAUAAUCAAAAAGCCCCGGCAAACUACGGC